rnacentral:SRP_RNA from 1 species
GCCAGGCGCAGUGGCAUGUGCCUGUAGUCCCAGCUACUCUGGAGGCUGAGGCUGGAGGAUCGCUUGAGUCCAGGAGUUCUGGGCUGUACUGCGCUAUGCUGAUUGGGUGUCCGCACUAAGUUUAGCAUCAGUAAGGUGACCUCCCGGGAGCAGGGGACCACCAGAGUUGCCUAAGGAGGGGUGAACUCACCCAGAUCGGAAGCAGAACAGGUCAAAACUCCCGUGCUGAUCAGUAGUGGGAUCGCACCUGUGAAUAGCCACUGCACUCCAGCCUGGACAACAUAGUGAGACCCCAUCUCU